GAAUAUUGGACAAUGGGCGCAAGCCUGAUCCAGCCAUGCCGCGUGUGUGAAGAAGGCCUUCGGGUUGUAAAGCACUUUUGUUGGGGAAGAAAAGCCAUGGGCUAAUACCCUGUGGUUCUGACGGUACCCUCAGAGGAAGCACCGGCUAACUCUGUGCCAGCAGCCGCGGUAAUACAGAGGGUGCGAGCGUUGUUCGGAAUCACUGGGCGUAAAGCGCGCGCAGGCGGGACUUGCAAGUCGGGAGUGAAAGGCCGGGGCUCAACCCCGGAGCUGCUUUCGAGACUGCGGACCUGGAGACCAGUAGGGGUUGGUGGAAUUCCCGGUGUAGCGGUGGAAUGCGUAGAUAUCGGGAAGAACACCCGUGGCGAAGGCGGCCAACUGGGCUGGAUCUGACGCUGAGGCGCGAAAGCGUGGGGAGCAAACAG
rnacentral:rRNA from 1 species